rnacentral:lncRNA from 1 species
UUGGUUAUGGUAGUUUAGUUCUUGUAUUUUUUUUUUUUUCUCUUUUCUGUUAUUUUUUCUCUCCUCUUAAGUCUUAUUUUUAAAGGUUUAGUUUAUCAGAAUGGGCUUUGGGUUUUGCUUCUUGCAAUCCCAUAUUCAUCCUUGCAUCUCUCAUAUGUUAAAUAAUAUUGUAAAUAUUCUGGUUGCUAUUGUUUUUUUAAGUUUUAAUUUGCAAAACAUGGCCAUAGUGUAUUGCCUCUG